rnacentral:tRNA from 1 species
UCCCUGGUAGUCCACUGGCUAAGACUCUGCACUCCCAAUGCAGAAGGCCCAGGUUCAUUCUCCGGUCAGGGAA